rnacentral:rRNA from 1 species
CACGUAGGCGGACCGGAAAGUUGGGGGUGAAAUCCCGGGGCUCAACCCCGGAACCGCCUUCAAAACUAUCGGUCUGGAGUUCGAGAGAGGUGAGUGGAAUUCCGAGUGUAGAGGUGAAAUUCGUAGAUAUUCGGAGGAACACCAGUGGCGAAGGCGGCUCACUGGCUCGAUACUGACGCUCAAGUGCGAAAGCUGGGGGAGCGAACG